GUUUUAUUGAUCGGAUGCACAGACAUAAGCACAAGCGCCCUCUCGUACACGUGUUUUUUGUUUUGACAAUGCCGCAUCAUCAUAUAAAAAUGGUUAAAAAUAAACGAAGAAUGAAAUGUGGCGUUCAUUGUAAAGAUUGGGAGAAACUUGCUCACAUGUGGGAUUAACUCUCUUUUUCAUUGAAAAGUGUCUAAAAAAGGGUCAGGAAAAGCCUUCAUGCACGUCUGAGCCUUGCAAGUGAAAGAAAACUUCUAAAAAUGUAAGAAAGAAACUAACUUUUGUUUUUAGACGGAAAUAUGGUUCAGAAUUUUUUAUGUUUGCUCCACUUACAUUGUAUAGAAAUGGUUGUAGGGUUCUUAACAAAAAUACUUGAAUAUUU